GACGAACGCUGGCGGCGUGCUUAACACAUGCAAGUCGAACGGAAAGGCCCUGCUUUUGUGGGGUGCUCGAGUGGCCAACGGGUGAGUAACCCGUGAGUAACCUGCCCUUGACUUUGGGAUAACUUCAGGAAACUGGGGCUAAUACCGGAUAGGAGCUCCUGCUGAAUGGUGGGGGUUGGAAAGUUUCGGCGGUUGGGGAUGGACUCGCGGCUUAUCAGCUUGUUGGUGGGGUAGUGGCUUACCAAGGCUUUGACGGGUAGCCGGCCUGAGAGGGUGACCGGCCACAUUGGGACUGAGAUACGGCCCAGACUCCUACGGGUGGCAGCAGUGGGGAAUAUGGCACAAUGGGCGGAAGCCUGAUGCAGCAACGCCGCGUGCGGGAUGACGGCCUUCGGGUUGUAAACCGCUUUCGCCUGUGACGAAGCGUGAGUGACGGUAAUGGGUAGAGAAGCACCGGCUAACUACGUG
rnacentral:rRNA from 1 species